AGGCCAUCAAUUAGUCUCCAGGCCACAAACUCCACCACCUUCCUGAGUCCCGGGCAGCGCACAGCGAGUGGGUGCCAAGGUAAACGGAGCUGGCUGGAGCUUCCAAGAGGAGGGGACCGAGGAGGAGGGCUCCAGAGAAGAGAGAGGAGGCCUGGGAUUACAAAAUGGAGACUGCUGGAAUCGCGGAAGGAGUCCCAGAACCAAUGGAAGGGAGGAUGCCAGGAACCUGAAAGGCUAUGAGAAGACCUUCUCUCUUCCCAUCCAUCUGGUAGACCUGCAGAGGAACCUGGUUCUGAGGUGUCCUCACAGACUCCUCCAUUCCUAAAUCAAAUCUGCUGGCAGUCAGCACAUCACUUCUUUCUUGACAUAUUGUUGGCUAAGUUCAUGUGGGUGCCAGCCACGGAAGACCUUUAGGUUCCACUGCUGGAUCUAGGUCAUUUCAUCGGCUCCUUCCAGAAGUGAGCCACUAUGGGUUAUAUCUGACAAAUCUAACGCUUUCCAUUUCUGCCAAGAGGCUAGAGUUUCAGUCAAGUCCUUUGGUGAGAGUUCUGCUGCUCGUUACAUUAAAGGGGUACAAGCUUUCUGGUUUUCAUCUGAUACAGCCUGCAUUUUUGUUGUGUUGGACU